GAUGUUGACCAUGAGUCAUUGUUCCCUCAAACCUCAACCUAGAGCUUCUGAACCGGUGAGAUCUUCAGAAACCUCGACGAACCAAAACUUCUGGGUGGUAUAUUUCACCUGUGAGUACAUCUAAGAACAUCACGAUGAGCAGAUUUCUGUGGAGCUGUGCUGCGUUAUUGACGCUGUUUGUUACAGCGGAGGCCCUCAGAUGUUACACCUGUGACGUGAGCAUCCUCGGCUCCUGCUUUGGCACAACUCCUGUAAACUGUUCAGAGCCUCAGGACACAUGCUUCUCCGGAGUUCUCUCAUUUACUGCCGACCGGUUGCCAAUCUACGAUAAAGGCUGCAUAGCGGCAAAUGCCUGCAAAAAUGUGACGGAUCAACCCAUCCUGAACAUUAACUACACCAUCGUCAGGCACUGCUGCAACACCGAUCUGUGCAACGGAGUCGCCUCCAUCCAGCUGCCGCUGACUGCAGCUCUGGGAGCAGCGCUGCUUGCUCUUUGGAGCCAGUGGGUCCUUUAAAGAAGAAAGAGGAGGAAGAAAAUGGGUUGCUGCACAUUUUCAUUUAAAAUGUCAUCACUUUUGUCCUUUGAUUUCUUGAAUAUACUUAAAAUAGCACUUGCAAUAUCCCCAUGUAACGCAUUAGACAAGUCAGCUGAGGUUACAGUAGUACUGUAUUUACUGUAUGAACUGUAUAAAUGAAUGUAUGUGCUUUUCUAUGCAAUUUGCAUACAUUUAAACACCUUGUUAAUGUAAGCUAAAGGUGAGACAUGUAGGCUAGAUCUUGUUGUGAAUCAUUUUAUAUCCAUUCAAUACUAAAAGGCAACUCAAUCCUAAAACUGAUUAUGGCUAAAAUAAAUUAUUUAAAUUGUAGUUUUGUGUGUUUAUUGGGACUUUACUUUCUGAUUCAUAUGAUGAGAUGGAAUUCCUAGGGGACGAGGCAGGGACAUGAUGGAUAUUAAACAAAAUAAGCAUUUUGGCAUUUUGAUGAAUUUCUAAAGUUUCGCUGUCUUGCCGAGAGUAAGAUGAGAAGAUUCAUACUGCUCUAAUGUUUGUAUGGUAGAAAAUGAAGCGACUGCCAGUAGCUCGUAGCUUAGCAUAAAGACUGUAAACAAGGGGAAAUAGAUAGUUUUCUACGGAGCCCAUAAAUAGACAUUGAGGAAAAAGAAAACAUAUACGCUUCUCAUGCACACUGUAACCUUUCUGAUGCGAACAAAAAACAUUCUCGCCAGCAGCCAGUUAGCUUAGCUUAGCAUGAAAUGCGAAAACCAAAAAACAACGAAAAACUGUAAAAAAAUAAAAAUAAAAUACAAACAAGAUAUAUUCAUUAGUGAUCUUUAGAGGUUCUGGUAGAUAACUUGUGUUCCUAUGGACAGAGCCAAGCUAGCUGUGUCCCUCUGCUAAGCUAAUCAGCUGCUGCCUGUAGCUUCAUCUUUAGCCUCACCUAUAAAAAAUGUGAGUGGUAUCAAUUUCGAACUCUUGGAAAGAAAUUGAAUAUGUUUCCCAAAACAUUGGACUAUUCUUCUAAAAAAAAACAUGAUCUAUAGCAGGCAUUAGGUGUUUUCAGUUCUUUUAUAUUGACCUCACAGUUUAAAAUUCAAAGACAAGUUUAAUUAAUGUUACCUCUGUUUCAAUUCUAUCCUAUAUGUGGUCCUUUGAAUUUAUUUUUGUAUUCUUUCUGCUUGUUACUUUUGUAAUAGUUUCCAUGAUCAUAUGCCAUUAUCAUCAUCAUACCCUCAAGUAAAGGGAGUGUCUCCUCUUUGUCACCAAAGAGUCCCAGUAUCUGUUGUAUAAUGACUCUAUUAUUGACUGAAGCUGUGGUUUCUGUUGAAAUCCAAAGCUUUUGAAAAUGAUUAUGAUGUUUCUGUACAAUAAGUCAGGAGUUCACAAGGGUUCAAACACACACAAGCACGUAUGUGUACUAACACAGUAAUGAGAUCAUCAUCAUCAUCUCCUUUCACCUAUUGUUUGGUGUUUUAAUAGAACUACU
ensembl:lncRNA